CCCAGCCAUACCCACGGCCAGGGAGCGCAGCAAGGUCCGAGGGAGCACCUUGGACAUCAAGGCCCAAGAGAGCAGCAGGACAGACCCACCCGAGCGCAGCGGGAGUUACCCGAGCAGAGACGCUUCCCAAGGAUGGACUGGUACAGCGAGGGUCCGCUCCGCGCAUGCGUGGCACCUUGACUAGAGACGCAUGUCUGAAAGGAGGUCGAAGCCCAAUGCCGGGGCACUGAGGGUGGACUGGGCCUCUGGGCUGUCUUCUCGGCUUGCUGUGUGCUUCUGCGGUGGGUGGAAAGAGGCGGUUGGAAGCACCCGCAGUGACCUUAUGGGACGUCUGAAGCAGCUAAGAGAUCUCUGCUGCGAAGAUGAAGUUUACAAAGAAAAACUCUGUAUUGGUACUCAUAAUUAACGACCCUUUGCCAGAAAGAUCUUCGGAUGAGUAAAAUCUGGUUGCCACAGCUAGAACACAGCUCAAUAAACCUCAGUCAAAUGUC